UGGGGCGUCGCCAAGCGGUAAGGCAGCGGACUUUGACUCCGCCAUUCGUUGGUUCGAGUCCAACCGUCCCAGCCA
rnacentral:tRNA from 1 species